UACGGAGGGUGCAAGCGUUAUCCGGAUUUACUGGGUUUAAAGGGGUGCGUAGGUGGGUUGGUAAGUCAGUGGUGAAAUACUUUCGCUUAACGAAGGAACUGCCAUUGAUACUACCAGUCUUGAAUACAGUGGAGGUAGGCGGAAUGCGUCAUGUAGCGGUGAAAUGCUUAGAUAUGACGCAGAACACCAAUUGCGAAGGCAGCUUGCUACACUGUUAUUGACACUGAGGCACGAAAGCGUGGGGAUCAAACAGG
rnacentral:rRNA from 1 species